rnacentral:rRNA from 1 species
UACGUAGGGGGCUAGCGUUGUCCGGAAUCAUUGGGCGUAAAGCGCGUGUAGGCGGUCCGGUAAGUCCGCUGUGAAAGUCGGGGGCUCAACCCUCGGAUGCCGGUGGAUACUGUCGGGCUUGAGUACGGAAGAGGCGAGUGGAAUUCCCGGUGUAGCGGUGAAAUGCGCAGAUAUCGGGAGGAACACCAAUGGCGAAGGCAGCUCGCUGGGACGUGACUGACGCUGAGACGCGAAAGCGUGGGGAGCAACAGG